CAGUAGCCACGGGAAUACGAAGGGUGCAAGCGUUAAUCGGAAUUACUGGGCGUAAAGCGCACGUAGGCGGCUUGGUAAGUUAGAGGUGAAAGCCCGGAGCUCAACUCCGGAAUUGCCUUUAAGACUGCCGAGCUAGCAGGUGAGAGAGGUAAGUGGAAUUCCGAGUGUAGAGGUGAAAUUCGUAGAUAUUCGGAAGAACACCAGUGGCGAAGGCGGCUUACUGGCUCAUACUGGACGCUGAGGUGCGAAAGCGUGGGGAGCAAACAGGAUUAGAUACCCCUGUAGUCCCUGUCUCUUAUAC
rnacentral:rRNA from 1 species